UGUCCUCUGCGAGGUUUGUUAGUGAUCCGGGUUAUCUCUUGAGCCGUAAAUCCAUGACCCCGGGGAUAAUGUUGAAGAAUCCAAUGUGCAGGCCCGCCAUGUAGCGGGAAGCCUAAGGCUAAUCACUUAUCCCCACUUGAACCAAAGGUUCAAGGGCAAACGAUCACGACGGCCAAGCGGAGGACCU
rnacentral:other from 1 species